GACGAACGCUGGCGGCGUGCUUAACACAUGCAAGUCGAACGGAAAGGCCCUGCUUUUGUGGGGUGCUCGAGUGGCGAACGGGUGAGUAACACGUGAGUAACCUGCCCUUGACUUUGGGAUAACUUCAGGAAACUGGGGCUAAUACCGGAUAGGAGCUCCUGCUGCAUGGUGUGGGUUGGAAAGUUUCGGCGGUUGGGUAUGGACUCGCGGCUUAUCAGCUUGUUGGUGGGGUAGUGGCUUACCAAGGCUUUGACGGGUAGCCGGCCUGAGAGGGUGACCGGCCACAUUGGGACUGAGAGACGGCCCAGACGCCUACGGGAGGCAGCAGGGGGGAAUAUUGCACAAUGGGCGGAAGUCUGAUGCAGCAACGCCGCGUGCGGGAUGACGGCCUUCGGGUUGUAAACCGAUUUCGCCUGUGACGAAGCGUGAGUGACGGUAAUGGGUAAAGAAGCAACGGCUAACUACGUG
rnacentral:rRNA from 1 species